UACGUAGGGUGCAAGCGUUAAUCGGAAUUACUGGGCGUAAAGAGCUCGUAGGCGGUUUGUCGCGUCUGCCGUGAAAGUCCGGGGCUCAACUCCGGAUCUGCGGUGGGUACGGGCAGACUAGAGUGCAGUAGGGGAGACUGGAAUUCCUGGUGUAGCGGUGAAAUGCGCAGAUAUCAGGAGGAACACCGAUGGCGAAGGCAGGUCUCUGGGCUGUAACUGACGCUGAGGAGCGAAAGCAUGGGGAGCGAACAGG
rnacentral:rRNA from 1 species